rnacentral:lncRNA from 1 species
AGAAGUAGCCUUGCAUUUAUGAGACAGCCAGAAGGUGUGCCAACAUCCAGGGUAAGUUUAUAAAAUAUCUGCUGACAGAUGUGAUUCACGGGAGACUUUGAAGGUUAAGGUUUCUGUUUCUCUUCCUUGUAGUAUCCACAACUUUUCUUUGAUGAUCCUGGCUUGAGGCAGUGACAUGAACCGAUCCACCCGGGAGGGUCUGUUGAGUGGCUGCCUUUAAAACAAUCACCAUCAACGUUUUACAGAUCAACCAGCAGGGGUCCUGCCUUUGCCAGCGAUGAAAAUACACUUAAAGUUUCCCCUCUAGAUGGUAGAAGAGAACAAACUCUAAGGUACUUGUACUGUGAAGACUGGGAUGAUGUUAAAGAAAAACGAGUUGCCGGUGAAGUACAAUGCAAAGAAGAUGAAAAGUCGUGCUGUAUUACACUAUCUUUGUGUUCUGUUUUCAUUUGACAUAGGUAAGAACAGUUAUACUUGAUACACUGAUUGUUCCUAGUAAACUUACACCUCGAAUUUUGAAGGAAUAUUACUACCAAAAACUUUCCUGCACUAUGA